GAUGCCUCAGUACGGCGAGUGAGCGGCAAAAGCUCAAAUUUGAAAUCUGCGUAAGCCGAGUUGUAAUUUGAAGAUGGCUACUUUGGUAAUGGCUCUUGUCUAUGUUCCUUGGAACAGGACGUCACAGAGGGUGAGAAUCCCGUGCGAUGAGAUGUCCAUUACCGUGUAAAGUGCUUUCGAAGAGUCGAGUUGUUUGGGAAUGCAGCUCUAAGUGGGUGGUAAAUUCCAUCUAAAGCUAAAUAUUGGCGAGAGACCGAUAGCGAACAAGUACAGUGAUGGAAAGAUGAAAAGAACUUUGAAAAGAGAGUGAAAAAGUACGUGAAAUUGUUGAAAGGGAAGGGCUUGAGAUCAGACUUGGUAUUUUGUAUGGCUUGCUUUCGGGCGGGUCCUCUGCAGUUUACUGGGCCAGCAUCGGUUUGGGUGGCAGGAUAAUAGCAUAGGAAUGUGGCUCUACUUCGGUGGAGUGUUAUAGCCUUUGUUGAUACUGCCUGCCUAGACCGAGGACUGCGUCUUUUGACUAGGAUGCUGGCAUAAUGAUCCUAAGCCGCCCGUCUUGAAACACGGACCA
rnacentral:rRNA from 1 species